AGGAUUGCUACCUGGUGAUCCUGCCAGUAG
rnacentral:rRNA from 1 species